rnacentral:rRNA from 1 species
UACGAAGGGGGCUAGCGUUGCUCGGAAUCACUGGGCGUAAAGGGCGCGUAGGCGGACUCUUAAGUCAGGGGUGAAAGCCUGAGGCUCAACCUCAGAACUGCCUUUGAUACUGAGAGUCUCGAGACCGGUAGAGGUAAGUGGAACUGCGAGUGUAGAGGUGAAAAUUCGUAGAUAUUCGCAAGAACACCAGUGGCGAAGGCGGCUUACUGGACCGGUUCUGACGCUGAGGCGCGAAAGCGUGG